ensembl:lncRNA novel transcript
CGAAGGCUCCGCGGCCCUGGAGAGCCGGCUUUAGGGCAGCCACUGGCCGGGCGGUCUCCCAAGUCAAUGGCCUCUGUGGGAAAGGCAGUGAUGUCACCUCGAAUGUAUUUUCGGGGCUUUGCCCUGCUUUCUCCUGAUCUCUCCCUCUCAGGCUGUUUCCCUGUUUUAUUUUUCUCCUCUUUCUUUCUCUCCUUCCAGCUUCUUUGAGGGCAUUAUGACUUUUUUCCAAGUUUAGAGCUCAAAUCCACUGAAGGCCCGCACGCAGCCCCAUGACUGCCAUGGCAACGCCGGGCCUGGUACACUUUUUUUUUUUUUUUGCAUAAAAAGUAGAGAAAGAUUGAAAAGAGGGACAAGAAUGAAAGGGGGAACGGAGCCAGUUUGGCCUGCGCGGGGCUGGUGUCUGCUGGGCAAGGACAGAAGCACACGGGGAACGGGACUCGUGAGGCCGGAGGAGCCAGCGGAGGGGCCUUUGAGAAACAAAUUUGUGAUCCUUCACGGUCAAAGCUUCCGAAAAAGCUCUGCGCUUCUGACGGAUGACAAGAGAGGGAGGGCAACAAAGUUCUCACAAGAAAUAAGGUCUCGCUUUUGAACAUGUACCCAAUUGCAUAGUUUAGAGGAAGCUUUCAAAAAUCUGUCUAGCCUCUCAAAAAGAAAGACAAAAAGAAGAAGAAGAAGAAAGGAGCGAAAAGUCUCAAAAGGACUUUUGACCUGUGUAGAAAGAGAGCAGAAAACACGCUGACACAUUUCCUGGAAUACCCAAGGUCCUUGAGCUCCCUAUUGUUAAACGGCCUCAGUGGAAACUCGAAGGUGUCAGCUGUGUCAAAUCAACUCAAAAUAAUCGAUGACAAACAGAAAGAGACAUUCAUUACUGUACCUUCUUCCCCUAGAGAAUAUAACAUUACCUUGAACUCCUGAAAGAAAAUGAAUGUCAUGUCUCCGAUAUGUUUUGUGUCCAUUCUAUCAAAAAGCAGAUUGCAAACAGUCUGAGAAAGCAGCUCCUGAAAAAUCCAGACAACUGCCCCCAUGAAAGCCGGGGCCAGCAGGUGAGGUGACUUGAGCGUGCAGGCAUGGAUCGCGGUCUCCUGCUGCCCAGGGCUCUUCCUGCUAGCAUCAGCAUCUGAUGGAUGAGAGCCCCAUCUAGUUCCUGGGCCCUGGGUUACUGCCCUCUAAUCCUGUCCUUGACCUCCUUCCCAAAAGUGUUAUCAGCCAUAGUCCAAGCUCCAUGUUCUCCAUGUGGUUACACACAAAUGCACCAGGCCAAGAGUCCUUGAAAAACUUAGACACUAAUCACAGAAGACACAGUCCUCAAGAAGGGAAUGGCAAUGUUAUUUCUACCAGCAGCAAUGGCUCAGGCCAAGGAGUUGGAAAGAAGAGACAAAGAGGAAGGCGAAGGCAGGCUCUGGAGAGGACAUGGACUCUGAGGCGGGUCUGGAGAUUGUUCAUGGGCACAGAGUAACAGGAAUGUCCCACACUCAGGUGCAGGGUGACUGGGUGUUGAGCGGGCUGGACUCACUGACUGGCACACUAUCCAGAAAAGGCUUUGUGCUUCUCCUACACAUGAGCUGUGGGAUCCCCACUCCUAGUCCUUGGAUGGGGCAGAUGCCAUUACUUUCCAGUCAUUAAACGUUAGGACUCUUUA